AGCAUACUGAUUGCAUGAUAAAACUUUUCUGUCUCUCUUUCUUGUCGAAAAAAAUAGCCUGCAAUGUUUAAAAUUACCUUUCUAAUUAUUUCUCUUGUAACUCUAGCCAAAUGUUACCCACAGGAACCCCCACCCGACGAGCAGUACGAUUCGUCAUCGGACGAGCAACGUGACCUGUUGUUCGUGUCAAUCAUACGGAAAAUUGCUGCAGAAAUGCAACAGCAGCAAACGUCGACAGCGAUGACGCCGGCAGUGGAGUCGACUUCCCACCACCAGCGGCUGGACUGUGGCCGGGUGCCCACGUGUGGCUCGAUUUGCUGCAAAGGGGGUGUAUUUCCGUGAAGUGAAACAAAAUUCAGCAGGGGAAAUUUGAAAAUGUGAGAAAUAAACGUUUAGUUAAGCUUUUGUAGUAAACAAAACUCAAAUGUGUAAAUAGGGCAGUGCAUGCAAUCAUGCAUUUUAAAAUUUUAAUCAAUUAUUAUAAGAUUGUUUAAAUAGACGAUGGUGAGAUUCCAAACAAUCAUUCGGAAACUUGUAGUUUUAACCUACAGAUUUAAAAAAUCUUUAACAAAAUGAGCAAACUUGUUUUUCUAGUUUACUGUGCAGCAGUUUUACUAGCAAUGAUUGGUGCAGCUCACGCUUAUUCCGAGAUGGUUUGUGAUGUUGCACCAUGUCCUAGGCCAAAUCCGUGCUGUUGAAAUUUAUAUAAUCCAUCAAGGUGAAAUUGAAUAAAUAUUUUAAAAAUGAACAGAUUCAAAUAAGAAUUCUUAUUGUUAAAUUGGCUAAUCGAAUGCAACUAAAAAUAAGUAAAUUCAAGGAGUUUUUGUCAAAUUUUUAAUAAAUUAGGCACAGUGUAAAGCGGAAGUUUGUAUGCAAAUAUUGAUCAUUUAUUUAUUUUAAUAAAUACGAAUAAAAACUGGAUGAUUUCACAUAAACAAA